rnacentral:tRNA from 1 species
GGCUUGUGACUCAGAGGUAGAGCACUCGCCUAGCAUGUGUGAGGCACUGGGUUCAAUCCUCAGCACCA